rnacentral:misc_RNA from 1 species
AGCUCCGGCGCGAAGGAGAUAGCACGCACAUUUGUAUGUCGGCCUAACAUCACAGCCCGCCCCUCAAGAAUCCUUGGAGCGUGAUAAGGACUCUCACCCCGUCUGUGCCUCCCGCAGGAUCGCCAAGGAAGCGCCAGUCACAGCGGGAACGGAGGCUAGCCGGACUAUAGAGGAGUUGCGAGAGCUGGUGCGGCGGUUACCACGACACCAUCUGAACUGCCUGACGGUCCUUAUGCACCACCUGCACCGCGUCAGCAGUUUCCCUCACCUCAACAACAUGCCGUCCUCAAACCUCGGCAUCGUGUUCGGGCCGACGCUGCUCCGGACGUCGGAGGGAUCGGCGUCGCUGAGUUCGCUGGUGGACACGGUGCACCAGACGCGCGCCAUCGAGCUCCUCAUCACCUUCGCCCACGAGAUCUUCCCGCAGAGCGAAAUCCUGCAGUCGAGAGAUCUGCAGGUGCCCUCGGGAGCAGCCUCUGCCAGGGUGCGGCUCGACGAGGUGCUCAAGCAGCCGCUGCCGAGCCGCCAGACCUCCGUGCACACGAGCAGCAGCAGCAGCAGCAGUAGCAGCAGCGGGGUCAACGUGAGCGGGGUCUCGGGUCACAAGCGCGGCCGCGACGGAGGCGUCACUGAGCUGGUAGGCGUGGUGGAGGACUCGCCGUCGCCUGCGCCCUCGCACGCCCACAAGGACAGGAAGGACUCGGAGAACUUAGACGAGGACUGGGAGUGGGAGGGCGAGGAGUCGUCCACUGAGGCGGGCGGGAGCGAACCGGCCACGCCCAGGCCGCCCGCAGCCGCCGCCCGCGCGCCCUCCAGCCACGCCAAGAUCUACAAGACGUCGCUCAAGGACUACGUGGGGCUCGAGGGGGUGGCCAUGCACGUGUCCACGGGUCUGCACACUGCACACGAGGCGGUGGAUGUUGUCCACCAGAGGCUACGCAAGACCGUGAGCGACAUUUCGUCCUCCCUACGGCCGCCCUCCGCACAGGACCUCUCUCGGAGAGCCACCGUGGAGGACGUGCACAGACGGGGAAUGGGAGGCGGUGGAGGAGGAGGGCUCGGCGAAGAUGCGACCCGGAGACCCACCAUCACGCAGGAGACGUCAAGAAAGCACGCGAGCGCAAUUGUGACCCUUUCCUCCGAGGAGCAUCCCGGCAGAAGACAACCGGCGCUCGACGUCGAUCAGAGAAGACAACACUCGACGGAGGAAUCGACGUCGACCAGGAAACUCAUGCUAGAGGAAGUGGGCAGGAAGGCCACGCUGGAGGAGCGGCUCGGCUUCCAGGGGGAGGAGAGGCAGCGCGCCGGCCCCGUCACCUCCAGCACGUCACUCAGCAGAGCGCAGGCACUCUACAAGAGCGAGUCCAAGUCCAGUAUGAGUGAGACGGAACUCAAGGUGGAGGUGCGGACGAGUUCGGGCGUGACGAAGACGGAGUCCCGCGGGUCCGUGACGCUGGAGCAGGGCGCGGCGGGCAUGGCGAGCUCCGGCGGGCGCAAGGUGUCGCCGCUGCUCGGCCAGCGCUCCAGCCACGCCCACCGCUCGGGGCUCGCCAGCGGCACCGACUCCUCCAUCGACUCGGACUACAGCUACGAGUACAGCCAGCCGAGCGCCGCCGGGGCCGCCCCGACGUGCCCCUCCGCCGCCCACGCCUCGGUGCUGGCGGCGCGCGGGCGUAACGAGGUCAUGGCGGGCGGGGCCUCGCGGGCCGUGUCGGUGUCCCGCGACCCGUCCCUGGACAACGUGACGUCAUCGGUGACCUCGUCUGACUCGUCCUCGCAGGAGCUGGAUUCCGCCCACGCCACCGAGGACUCCCAUAGCUCGGAGGCGUACGACGAGACGGACGCCGCCCACGCACGCCCACUCGCCUACUCCUCUGCACACUUUGCACGAUCCACAAGUGAAGAGUCCAGCUCCUAGUACAUAAAAUCAAAAUUAAAAAUAUCCAGAACUAAAACAAAACUUCCAAACGAGUAACUGGCAACCUUUGUGGUGUGGCGGCAGCAGCGGAGGCGAGAGCGGCUACGUGUCGCCGUACCUGAGCACGGAGCGCGGGGGGCUGGUCACGCUGGGCCCUUCCCUCCUGCUCACCCGCGCCACCAUCGCGCAGUACGACACCAAGCGCACCAU